AAGACGGAUUCCCCUGUGCCGUUCUUUCUUGUUCUCCGUUUUACUGGUUGAAUUCCCAUCUGGAGCGUGGAUUCCCGUUAAGCCUGCUAAUUAUGCCUGGGCUUCUAAAAUGCGACCAGGGAGGCCGUAGUGCCUCCUCUUCUUCGGGAGAACGGGAGGAUGCCUGCAGCCUAGCAAGAAGCCAGCUGCCAUGAGUGAUGACACUCAUCUAUGGAGAGACCCAUCUAAGGAAGAACUGAGGCCUCCUGCUGACCCCAGAGAGAGAUGACUGCAGCCCUAGGCCGACAACUUGACUGAACUUCACGAGAGACCCUGAGUCAGAACCAUCCAGAGGUGCUCCUCUCGGAUUCCUAAUUGUCAGAAAAUUGUUAGGCAUCCCCUGGGAGAAAUGCACAAGGCGAAGAACCCAAGCUUCCUGGCUGUGUAACUGAGCUUCCAGUAAGAGGAUCCUUCAGCCUCGGUUAAAGCUCUCAUUUGUUUGCAACCUUGGUUGACCACAAAUUCAUGAAAGACCCUGAGCCAGGCCACCCAGCUAAGCUGCCUCCUGAUUGCUAAGCCUCAGAAACGGUGUGAAAGAAUAUAUGUUUGCUGUUUGAAGCCAUUACGUUUUGAGAGUUAUUUUGUUUUGCAGAUGUAAAUGACAAAUACAAUAUUUCAACAAACUAAACAUGUGGGAAGAACAUCUUCUAAGGGCUCCUGGCCCAGAGAGCUUUCCCAGAGACCUUCAAGUGUUUUCUGUGACUCAGACUUCUGGGCUCCAUCUCCACGGUGGGGAAAGGAGGGGCCUGAGCUCCGUCUAGACACCAGGAACUGGUGUCUCCAGAAUAGCCACAGCCUCCACCCAUGUCCACCGCAGGAGCCGGCUGCACACAGCGCCCAGGCCCACACCUGCAGAGCAGAGAGGACUCCAGAAAUGCGCCCCACCCAACCUCACCCAUGUGCACCUGCAGGGAUCCACUCGGGGCUCAGAAGCUAACAGCAGCUACUAUUUUGGGAACACUCUCUAUGUGCCACGUGAUGUGCAGAGCUGUGUGCAUCUUUUAAUUUACUCUUCUCAACAACCUUCUGCAGGAGAUAUUACUAAACCUGUUUCACAGUGGAGGGAACUGACGUUCAGAACACUCAAGCAAAUUGCCGGGUCCACAGAGUUACUUCGGUGCGGCAGCUUUAGAUUCAAAUUCCGCUAUGUUUAGGUCCCAAACUGGGAGACUAGAAAAUAGAAGCUUCUGACCUGAAAAUACUUUUAUCAUCCAUUCCUUGUAAGAAGAAGAGACACAAGCUUCCAUCAGAGAAAAGGGUGCCAUCUCAACCCAGAUUUCCCAGGGCAGAGAUGUAAAGAGAUUGUGGAGGAUAUCUGAGCCACCAAGAGUCUCAGAGAUGGAGUCAUGAAGAAGGGAACGUGGACCCAGAGAGGAAAGUGACUUUUCCAAGGGUUCCUGCCCAGUGCUCUUUGCACAGAACUGCCCUGUCCCUGACACAUAAGAGGGGAAUGGUUGCCAUGUGGGGAAAUAAUACUGGGGUACAGGGUAGCUUUGGGGUGGGUGAAGGAGAGAAAAAGGGGAGCCAAGGUAAUAGCAAAAUGGGCAUCUCAGUUUUGUCUUGGGUCAUCCCCACCUUGGCUAGGGGAUACAUAAACCAGCAUCACAGAUUGUCCCAUGGAGAGCCUGGGCACC